AUUGAACGCUGGCGGCAGGCCUAACACAUGCAAGUCGAGCGGCAGCGGAAAGUAGCUUGCUACUUUGCCGGCGAGCGGCGGACGGGUGAGUAAUGUCUGGGAAACUGCCUGAUGGAGGGGGAUAACUACUGGAAACGGUAGCUAAUACCGCAUGACCUCGAAAGAGCAAAGUGGGGGAUCUUCGGACCUCACGCCAUCGGAUGUGCCCAGAUGGGAUUAGCUAGUAGGUGAGGUAAUGGCUCACCUAGGCGACGAUCCCUAGCUGGUCUGAGAGGAUGACCAGCCACACUGGAACUGAGACACGGUCCAGACUCCUACGGGAGGCAGCAGUGGGGAAUAUUGCACAAUGGGCGCAAGCCUGAUGCAGCCAUGCCGCGUGUGUGAAGAAGGCCUUAGGGUUGUAAAGCACUUUCAGCGAGGAGGAAGGCACCAUACUUAAUACGUGUGGUGAUUGACGUUACUCGCAGAAGAAGCACCGGCUAACUCCGUGCCAGCAGCCGCGGUAAUACGGAGGGUGCAAGCGUUAAUCGGAAUUACUGGGCGUAAAGCGCACGCAGGCGGUUUGUUAAGUCAGAUGUGAAAUCCCCGCGCUUAACGUGGGAACUGCAUUUGAAACUGGCAAGCUAGAGUCUUGUAGAGGGGGGUAGAAUUCCAGGUGUAGCGGUGAAAUGCGUAGAGAUCUGGAGGAAUACCGGUGGCGAAGGCGGCCCCCUGGACAAAGACUGACGCUCAGGUGCGAAAGCGUGGGGAGCAAACAGG
rnacentral:rRNA from 1 species